rfam:Felis catus isolate Cinnamon breed Abyssinian chromosome C1, whole genome shotgun sequence.
GCCUGGGUGGCUCAGUCGGUUAAGCGUCGGACUUCGGCUCAGGGCAUGAUCUCACAGUUUGUGGGUUCGAGCCCCACGUCGGGCU